UACGUAGGGGGCUAGCGUUGUCCGGAAUUAUUGGGCGUAAAGAGCGCGCAGGCGGUGACUCAAGUCAGAUGUGAAAUAUCCGGGCUUAACCCGGAGGGGUCAUUUGAAACUGAGUAACUAGAGUACAGCAGAGGAUAGCGGAAUUCCCGGUGUAGUGGUGAAAUGCGUAGAUAUCGGGAGGAACACCAGUGGCGAAGGCGGCUAUCUGGGCCAAUAUUGACGCUGAGGUGCGAAAGCGUGGGGAGCAAACAGG
rnacentral:rRNA from 1 species